rnacentral:lncRNA from 1 species
UCUAUGAAAUGAAAUUUUUUGAAUUUUUAAGAUUCUACCAUCCAUUUUUUAAUAAGUCUCAUUCUUCACAGCUCUUUUUCAGAGUAAACCCUACAUUAUUUCCUUUUUCCUGUGAUUCUGGAGGAGUCCUUUUCAAGCUUUCCCCUUCAUUUGGGUGGAGCAUGAUAAGAUCAGUUCCUUCACCUGGCAUUUCUGGAGGUCCCCAAAAUUCCUACCAACCCAGCUGGUAUGACAAAGGGAAGGCCAUGUGCAAGAUUUGGAGGCUCCAUGGCACUAGAAAUACAGCCAGGAGAAAUACAUGUCAAGUCGCAGCCUUAUCUGUAACCAAGGAUACACCAGGGUAAGAAUUAAGGAAAAAUGCUGAUGAUUAAUAUUACACUGGCAGCUGGGUUCCUCCAUAGCUUCCCAGCCUGUUGUGUGAAUUCCAGAAGACUCCAUUUCACAGCUUGGUUGUACUGCUUAUGCUGUAGUAAUGUGUGGAAACUCAGUGGGCCAGCUCCCAG